rnacentral:rRNA from 1 species
GUACACUCCUGCGGGAGGCAGCAGUGGGGAAUUUUGAACAAUGGGCGAAAGCCUGAUCCAGCAAUGCCGCGUGUGUGAAGAAGGCCUUCGGGUUGUAAAGCACUUUUGUCCGGAAAGAAAUCCUUGGCUCUAAUACAGUCGAGGGAUGACGGUACCGGAAGAAUAAGCACCGGCUAACUACGUGCCAGCAGCCGCGGUAAUACGUAGGGUGCGAGCGUUAAUCGGAAUUACUGGGCGUAAAGCGUGCGCAGGCGGUUUGCUAAGACCGAUGUGAAAUCCCCGGGCUCAACCUGGGAACUGCAUUGGUGACUGGCAGGAUAGAGUAUGGCAGAGGGGGGUAGAAUUCCACGUGUAGCAGUGAAAUGCGUAGAGAUGUGGAGGAAUACCGAUGGCGAAGGCAGCCCCCUGGGCCAAUACUGACGCUCAUGCACGAAAGCGUGGGGAGCAAACAGGAUUAGAUACCCCGGUAGUCCCAUG